rnacentral:rRNA from 1 species
GUGGGGAAUAUUGGGCAAUGGGGGAAACCCUGACCCAGCAACGCCGCGUGAAGGAAGAAGGUCUUCGGAUCGUAAACUUCUAUCCUUGGUGAAGAUAAUGACGGUAGCCGAGAAGGAAGCCCCGGCUAACUACGUGCCAGCAGCCGCGGUAAUACGUAGGGGGCAAGCGUUGUCCGGAAUGAUUGGGCGUAAAGGGCGCGUAGGCGGCCUGGUAAGUCUGGAGUGAAAGUCCUGCUUUUAAGGUAGGAAUUGCUUUGGAUACUGUCGGGCUUGAGUGCAGGAGAGGUAAGUGGAAUUCCCGGUGUAGCGGUGAAAUGCGUAGAGAUCGGGAGGAACACCAGUGGCGAAGGCGACUUACUGGACUGUAACUGACGCUGAGGCGCGAAAGUGUGGGGAGCAAACAGGAUUAGAUACCCGUGUAGUCC